AAUGAACGCUGGCGGCGUGCCUAACACAUGCAAGUCGAGCGUGAAAGCUCCUUCGGGAGCAAGUAAAGCGGCGGACGGGUGAGUAACGCGUGAGAAUCUACCCUUUAGUGAAGAAUACCUUCGAGAAAUUGAAGUUAAUGCUGCAUACGUCCCUUAGUGGAUAAAGAUGGCCUCUUGCUGUCGCUAAAGGAUGAGCUUGCGUACUAUUAGCUAGUUGGUGGGGUAAAGGCCUACCAAGGCGAUGAUGGUUAGCCGACCUGAGAGGGUGAUCGGCCACACUGGAACUUAGACACGGUCCAGACUCCUACGGGAGGCAGCAGUGGGGAAUAUUGCGCAAUGGGCGAAAGCCUGACGCAGCAACGCCGCGUGAAGGAUGACGGUCUUCGGAUUGUAAACUUCUGUUAAGUGGGAAGAAAAAUCCGUUUCUAAUACAGACGGUAAUGACGGUACCAUUAGAGAAAGCACCGGCUAACUUCGUGCCAGCAGCCGCCGUAACAC
rnacentral:rRNA from 1 species